UAUUUUGGUGAUACAUCAACACGCGGAGCCGGCGUAGCGACACAGCUGCAUCCUGUGGCGGCGUGUUACAGAAGUUUUGGUGGUGAAAGUGUUUUUUAUUUCCCGCUAACCUGCUUCAGAAAGCGGAUUCAGUUCCGUUAGACGUUUAAGCUCAACUGCGUCGGAGUUUUAUAUAAGUAGUAGCCGCCAUGUUGUGGCAGAGAGCGAUGUUAAAGUAAGCUAGCAGCAGAGAGGUGAUGGAGGUAUGACAGCAGGGAACAGAGCUAAUGUCAACAUUAGCUGAAACACACCGGUGUGUUUGAACGUCUCGCCGAGCCACAGAGUCGAACCAUGGUGCCGUUAAAGAGAAGGAAAGUGGUCUCGUCCCGUGCUGGGAGCACUGGGACGGAACCAAACAAGUUCCCUCAGUUUGUUCUGUUCCUGCUGGAAAGAAAAAUGGGAGCCAGUCGAAGAGCUUUCCUCUCUCAGCUCGGCCGGAAGAAGGGAUUCCAGGUGGAGGAGCUGUUCAGUGAAAGUGUCACACACGUCGUCUCUGAGAACAACUGUGGUUCUGAGGUCCGGACGUGGCUCGACUCGCAGGUCAGAGGUGGAACACCUGCUCACCUCCUGGACAUCAGCUGGUACACAGAGAGCAUGAAGGCGGGACGUCCUGUGGAGAUACUGGACAGACACAAACUACAGGAGCAGCAGACGAGUGAAGCGGAGGUGGGGGUGUUUUCUGUCCCCAGCUACGCCUGUCAGAGAAGAACCACCCUGGAAAACCACAACGCCGUCCUCACUGAUGCUCUGUCGCUCCUGGCCGAGAACGCUGAGCUCAGCGAGGAGGAGGGACGAGGUGUGGCUUUUCGCCGGGCCGCCGCCGUGUUGAAGGCUCUGCCCAGACCGGUGACGAGCAUGACGGAGCUCAGAGGGCUUCCCUGUCUCGGAGAUCACUCGCUCAGAGUCAUCAAGGAUAUUCUGGAGAACGGAGCAUCAAGGGAAGCCGAGACUACGAAGCAGUCUGAGCGAUAUAAAGCUCUGAAGGUUUUAACGGGUAUUUUUGGAGUCGGAGCAAAAACCGCGGAUCGUUGGAUCAGAGAAGGGAUCCUCGGCCUCCAGCAGCUGCAGGAUUCAGGACAAACGCUCAACCGAGCGCAGCAGGCAGGCCUCGAGCAUUACGAUGACCUCAACCAGCCGGUCACCAAGGCAGACGCUGAUGUCAUCAGCGAGAUCGUGGAGCGAGCUGUUGUCUCCGUGUUACCAGGCGCACAGAUGACUCUGAUUGGAGGAUUCAGGAGAGGAAAGCUGUCGGGCCAUGAUGUUGACUUCCUGAUCACACACCCAGAGGAGGGCAGAGAGGUGGGGCUGAUGCCGAAAGUAGUUUCCUGGUUGGAAUCACAGGGUUUCCUGUUGUACCAGAAAACCACCAGAAACUCGUACCUGGAGUCUAAGGACGGUCCGGGUCGACCAUCCUCCAACAUGGACCGCUUCGAGAGGUGUUUCUCCAUCUUCAAACUGACCGAGGAGGAGAAACGACGAACUAAACAGCCAGAGACAGCAACGGAUAACGGCCUGCAAACUGUCAGCACACCUGAACCAGAUCCACACAGCCGGGUCCAGAUUAGUGAACACAGCCGCUGUGAGGAUGAAGAACUGGAGGCGGAUCAGACAAAACAAGCCGGACACAAACUGUGGAGAGCCGUGAGAGUCGACCUGGUCGUCUCUCCCAUCAGCCAGUUCGCUUUUGCUCUGCUGGGCUGGACCGGAUCCAAGCUGUUUGAGAGAGAGCUGCGUCGCUGGGCGGGACACGAGAGGAACAUGUCUCUGAGCAGCCACGCUCUGUAUGACAACAAACAGAGAAUUUAUCUGCGAGCGACGUCGGAGGAGGAGAUAUUUGCUCAUCUUGGUCUGGAGUUCAUUCCUCCGUCAGAGAGAAACGCCUGAGAGGACCCGACGAGCUCCGACAGGAAGCUGAAGCAGAAGCUGAUAAUGGAGACAGACGGUGAGACCAGAGCAGCACCAGGUCGGGACAUGUGUCUCCUCCGGUCUGCUGUCAGCGCCCGGGGGGGUCGAGGUGUGUUUGUGUCCAUAACAGAGCAGCAAACAGGCCCAUUAGAGAUGAAAGAGCCUGAAUGGAGCCAAUCAAAGACGAGCUCAGCAGGACGCCGUUACCCCACAGACAGCAGCAGCCCGCUGGGGCCGAGGAGGAGGAAUGACCCCUCGUCAUGGAUAAGGAGCAUUUACACACACACACACACACACACACACACAAGGAUGGACGGACACACUGUUUUAUUGCUCUUCUGUGUUCACGUGAAUGUUUCUCUGAGGUUAAAUUGGCUCUUUUUCACAUGGAGUCUGGUGUGUGAGCACAAAAUACACAACAACAGACGUUAAAACAAAGAGAUUCUGCAGGGAAAAAAAAAAAAAGCCCCUCGGAGCAAAAGUGAAGUGUUGUAAAUAAACACACGAGCCUGCAGAAACAAACAGAUACUGAAGAUACUUUAAAGGAGCAGUUCACCCAAAAAAAAAAAAUGAAACUAGAGCCCAUUAUCUCCUCAACCGCUGGCUGAUGUGAAGUCAGGUGAAGUUUCGUCAUCUACAAAAAUAUUUCUGGAGCUUCACAGGAAAGAAAAAGUGUUAAAGCAUUCUCCUAAACAACCGAAGAAGAUGGAGACUUGUUUUAAAAUGUGAAAAACAAGCCAGAAGACACCAAACUGAUUCAAAAAGACUUUAUUUACUUUGUUAUUUCAGCUGGAAUCUUCACUGCGACCAGCUAAAAGUGUUAGCGGGCAUGUCGAGGGCGAACGUAACAUCCUUUAAAAUCAGUCUGAGCUCUUCUGAAAACCAGGUUUUGCAAUUUAAAGGGCCACUUCACUCUUCCAAAUUCAUUUUACAGGAUGCGAUGGACAUGCGGUCGAGCUGGAGGGGGAAACUACACGUCCGUCACCCUCAGUUAAACAUCUAUACAAACUACAUCCUCUCCGUCCUCUCUGUUCUCACAGGAGUCCAGACUCACAGUCUCCUCGGCGGAGGACGAAGUCUCUCUCAUGUCUCGUCCUCCCAAAGAGACUUUUGGUUCACACAUACGGUGUCGAAAAACAUUCACGUGUCGAUGGUGAUGCAGAAGCAUGACAACAAAAAACUCCCACUUCUCCUCUAUUAUAUAUUCCCCACGAUGCAUUUGUUUAAUUGUAUAUAUUUAUUCCUACACAGCUCACGUGUCUUGAAUAUUUCAGAAAAAUAAAUCCUGAUUCUGCAGAAAAACGUCCGCAGAUGGAGAAGUGUGUGCGCUCGCGUCGGGGUGGAUGUGAGAGCAGGCGGAGGUGUGAGCGCUGACACGGCCUUUGAUGUUAAACUGGUAUUUAGAGGUUAAUGAGGCUGUUAGGAAGAGGUGAAGGAAACGCCUGGGAGUCCACACACACACACACACACACACACACACACACACACACACACACACACACACACACACACACACACACGAGAAAUGUAUCUGCGUCUCCUGAGAUUCUUCUGCUGCGACGAGGAUCUUUAAAAACCAGAAGAACGUGACCGUAACUCGUCGAUUAUUUAGAUUAUUGGCGAGGAAGUCCUGCGCUCAGACGCAAAAAAAAAAAGUCUCCUGUGACAUUAUUAAAUUGUUAAUUUCUACUUAUUUCUAUUUCUACUCGAAAUGUGGAGAUUAAAGUCGACAUUUGGAGCCUCUUGUGUAGAUGAGCCGGUGAAACUGUACUGAAGUCACAAAGACGUUAUUUAUCCUUCAGCUGGUGAACACAGUGACGUUUUCAGGAUGAGGAAUCUGAAGUGACGAGCAGACGAGCAGCUCGCAUCGCCGUCAGUCGUCCUCCUGAACUGGAUUUGAUGAACCAGACGAGUCGACUUUAUUCUCCACGUUUCAACUUUUUCCUCUUGAAGCGUGAAAUGAAAAUAAAAACCCUGAUACUCACCAGAUAAACCCGAGGGGUCGUCAGAUGAUAAACAGGAGGAAAUUUCAUGCUUUUUUCUGGUAAACACUGGAUGAUUUUACUUCUUUUAGUUAUUUAAAUGAAGCCAUGUGAGACGUUCACUAGUAUUUCUCCUUCAUUUUCAGCUUUUAUCAUCCUCUUUCCUGGUCGUACUUCAUUUUCUGUAUAAACAUGGAGCUGAAACAUCUGAAAGGAGUCUUGAAAUGAUGAUGUAUAUGUGACUUUACUCAUAUGAAAUAUCAUAAUUCUCACAUAUACAGUUGUUAUAUAUUUAUUUUUUCCUUGCUGUCAUGUCUGAUUGUUUUCUCUCUGAAUCUGUCUGUGAUGUUUCUGUAACGGAGGAUCGAUGAAGUGUUUCUGAUUUCUGAUGUUUUCCAUCGUUUGAUCUUUUUACUGGCGCUCGUCAUCGUGUUGUCUUCUUUCUUUUCUCCUGCAGCUGUUUGGACACAAACAGGAGAAAAAGAUCCACCGACUCAACCAACAACCGUGGAUGUAAAGCUCCGUCGCUGCCCCUCCGUCUGCGUCUCUGAGCUCUUUAACGUGGGUGGAUGAGUAUCAGCGGCGGUCUGCUCCACCUCAACCGUCCCGGACGGCGUGUGACGAGCAGGACGACCAGCUCUUUGAUGUGGCAGACAGACAACAGCCUGUCUGCAGCUCAUCAUCGGGUUUGUUUUAUCAUUUCACUGAACUCAGGACUUCAUCAUGUUCGCCAGAAAUCCUCUAAUAUCAGAUCGUAAAAUGUGCAAAAUGUGGAAAAUGAAUCAAAUGUCCUCCUGAAAAUGUAGAAAAUCAAACUCUAAAUGUUAUUGUUCUUUGGGAAAAUUGCAAAUAUUAUUGUGAAGAAGGACUCCGAGGUCAGUCGUGUCUUUACUGUGAACAACAGAGGAAGUUUAUCAGGAAAUUUAGCAAAUCCUCACAUUUCUGCUCCGAACAUGUGGAGUCAUUGGAGCGUCAUGAAAAAGAAUAAAUCUGCAGAAGAAGAAAACAACUGUAGAAGUAAAAAGAGAAAACUGAAGGAGGAGGAGGUGAAGGAGGAGGUGAAGGAGGAGAUGAAGGGAUCAUCCUCUCCGGGUCGUUAUCAGCCUCUUUAACUUGAUCCCUAAAUCCUUGUUGUCGCUGAAAGACACUCGGCAGUUCUGGAUGAUUUCAGGCUCAACACGACGAUCAGUUUCCAUUAUAUGUGAUGAGAGUAAUCUGCAGGAAGGGAACUAAAGUACAUCUACUCAAGGACUUUAAAUCCUUCAGUCCUGCUAGUUUCAGCCUCCUUUUGGUUCAUUUAUGCCAGUUGCUUCUUUGUUUCUUGUCCUUUUUAGUGUUUAAAUGAUUUGGUGGAUAAAUAAAUGUUUGUAAAAAUACACUCGACAUCACUGAUUCAUAAACUGAGACUGAAAUCUUCACCGACAAACGCAGAAUUUACUGAAAGAUGUUUAAAACUUUUAAAUUAAAUGUGCAACAACAUCCUGUGGAGUGUUUUUUACAUUCUUAUAUUAAUUUAACAAACAUUUAUGUAAAUCUUUUGAAUUAAUAACGAUAAUAAAUAUUAAUUUCAAUGA